rnacentral:rRNA from 1 species
UACGUAGGGGCCAAGCGUUACCCGGAUUUACUGGGCGUAAAGGGCGUGUAGGUGGCUGCGUAAGUUUGCUGUGAAAUCUUUCGGCUCAACCGGGAGAGGUCAGCGAAUACUGCGCGGCUUGAGGGCAGCAGAGGAGGGUGGAGUUCCCGGUGUAGCGGUGAAAUGCGUAGAUAUCGGGAGGAACACCAGUGGCGAAGGCGGCCUUCUGGGCUGUCCCUGACACUGAGGCGCGAAAGCGUGGGGAGCGAACAGG